CCCCUUUAAAUCUUUUGAAAAAAGAACUAUAUUAAAGAUGUCAAGGGAACUUGACUAUAGUGAUAAACGUCCUACGGAAUAGGCGUGACGGACCCGGGGGCGGAACCCGGCACCUCCACCAGGAAAAUUAUGGGGGUGAAUCAGGAUCGACGUGCGUAGUAAAGGUUAGAUUUUCACUCGGCAUGGUACCACCGAUAUCGGGCUAAAACACAUAAAUGCAACAAAAGUAAAUGCAUUUAAUCGUUUUGCUGCUAACUUAAGUGCUAGCAACAUUAAUACUGGGGCACAAGAAGCUGUAAUGGCUGCUUAAUCCUGGUAUACGAUUGCGGUUUGAGGGGCACCGGGCAACAGAAGCCCCUCGCU
rnacentral:tmRNA from 1 species